ACGCUUUGGCAACAAUAAGGUUUAAACGAUGACUGGAGUAAUGAACAUGCAACGCCUUCGGGUUUUUCUCUAAUAUUCUCCCAGAAAUACCUUUUACCUGGCUGGACACAGCACUAGCACCGUCAUAUCCCUGGCCUCGACAAUUUUGAAGGGAAGCCCGACAUCUUGAAGUGUACUUUGACUAAUGAACGGAAUCAAAUCCAAAGGCGAAACAGUUCGGUAUACAAAUGAAAAUGUUCUUGAAUCAUGUAAAACUUCAAAUUUAUUCAAGAAUGUAUUAAAUUAUCCAGAAAGUAUAAGCUUGGAGUUAUCAUUAAAAAGUGCCUUGCACCAGAUAUUUUCAAUAAUUAGCUAUCGAGACCAUCCUCAGUU
rnacentral:lncRNA from 1 species